rnacentral:tRNA from 3 species
GGUUGUUUGGCCGAGCGGUCUAAGGCGCCUGAUUCAAGAUUUUCAAUCUUAACUGCGGGAGAACGUAGUGAAUCCUCAGGUAUCGCAAGAUGCGUGAGUUCGAAUCUCACAGCAACCA